rnacentral:rRNA from 1 species
GACGAACGCUGGCGGCGUGCUUAACACAUGCAAGUCGAACGCUGAACCCGCUUCGGUGGGGGAUGAGUGGCGAACGGGUGAGUAACACGUGGGCAACCUGCCCCCGGCUCUGGGAUAACCCCAAGAAAUUGGGGCUAAUACCGGAUGUGACCGCUGGCCGCAUGGUCUGGUGGUGGAAAGGGUUUCCGGCUGGGGAUGGGCCCGCGGCCUAUCAGCUUGUUGGUGGGGAAGUGGCCUACCAAGGCGACGACGGGUAGCCGGCCUGAGAGGGUGACCGGCCACACUGGGACUGAGACACGGCCCAGACUCCUACGGGAGGCAGCAGUGGGGAAUAUUGCGCAAUGGGCGGAAGCCUGACGCAGCGACGCCGCGUGGGGGAUGACGGCCUUCGGGUUGUAAACCUCUUUCAGCAGGGACGAAGCGCAAGUGACGGUACCUGCAGAAGAAGCACCGGCCAACUACGUG